GUGCUUGCUUCAGCAGCACAUAUACUAAAAUUGGAACAAUAUAGAGAAGAUGAACAUGGCCCCGCACAAGGAUGACAAAGAAAUUUGUGAAGCAUUCCACGUAGUU